GGGCCCUACCUUCCAAAGGGAAAUGAAAACAAGACGGACAAUGUAGUCAACAAUAACGCUCAACCCAUCAACCAAACAGCCAACAUCAUGAAUAACGCCAAUAACGCCCCUCACUCUUUGCAGUCAAGUUGGGCUUAGUCGAGGUGUAGUGAGUCACCUCUCUCCUCUCACCCACUGUGAGCCUGGGCAGCAAGCUAAUUUGCUUUGCAGGACAGGUGUCGGUGAAUGUGUGGGUGAGAGCUCUAUUAC